AUCCCCAACCCCCAACUCCUGCCUUUAAAAACAGGAGCCAAUCCUUCCCAAUAUCCAAUCCUACAAACUUGGUGGUGACUUGGGCAUCACUGAUGGAUAAUUAGGACCUAGAGUAUAAAAUGGCAGAUUGUAGCCGUUCAAAAUCCGGACUUUCUGUUUUAAUUGAGAAGAAUUAGCCUCGAAACAUUUUUUUCCUUGUCACAAUAGGUUUUCCAGUGUCUUGGCAAUAAGGAGUAGCAUUUUAAAUGACCUACAUUUGUGUAGGAAGCCACAUGGUCCAGCCCGGUAGGAUUAGUGAGGGGGGAAGAUAUUCUGGGGUGCUGACUACCCAUCAGGACAAGCAGGCUCCGACUUGGCUUCUCCAGCUCGCCAUCUGGCCAAUGCUGAUUCAUUAGGUAGGUGCCCUUCCUUCUGUUGGAAAGGACAUUUGUUCCCCAUAAUUUGCCACUUUUCCAAGUGGUUAAGGGAAAUUGGAUUUGUUGCAGCGUGCCAGAAGCGAGCAAGACUGGGAACGAGGGCAAGGAUGCCGCAAAAUGGAAAGUCCUCUGGAACCACUGGUGGUGACAUGAGAUGGCACAGCCACUUCAAGAAAGCCUGACAGCUCAUGGGAAGGCACUCUGUCCAGGAGAAUGGGUUAAGGACCUUGGAGCCAGAUGCCCUGAAUACGGCCCAGGCUCCAAUAGGUACUUCCUUGGCUUAACCCAUAAUGUCAAACACAAUCACACAGCACUGCAGCUCGCCCCAGCUCUACUCUCGAUUUGGAGGGUACGGUCAGAGAGGAUGAAGUCAUGGUGCCAGGAGCCUGAGGCAGCUGCUUGCAUUGUAUCCGCAGUGAGGAAGCCGAGAGAGAUGAACCCGAUGAGCAGGUAGCUUCCUCCUUUUCUUACAGUCUGAGACUGAGCCCACGGACACCUGCGUGCAAGAUGGGACUUCCCAGUUCAGUUAACCCAAGUUCUAAGCCAGGCUCUUGGAGAGCUAAAUCCAACGAGCGAGUGUUGGCAGAGCCAUGCUCCCUCUGGAGUGCCUCGAGGACAGUCUGCUUCUAUACCCUUCUCCAGUUCCUUGGGCUGUGUUCCUUGGCCUGUGGCCUUACCUCCACCUUCCAACCCGGCACUGUAGCACCUCCCUUAUUAAAAAGAAAUUAGUAAAAAUGUUAAAAACUAUUAUUUUUAUUUGACGUGUAUGGGUGUUUUUGUCUGCAUGUAUGUCUGUGCACCACAGCAUAUCCGGUGCACACAGAGACCAGAAGAGGAUGUGGGAUCUCCCAGGACUGGAGUUACCGAUGACAGUAAGCCGCCAUGUGGGUGCUGGGAAUUGAACCCAGAUCCUCUGAAAAGAGCAGUCAGUGCUCUUAACCACUGAGCCACAACCCCAGCUGUGGCAUCUUCCUUCUUUAGUCCUAGCCUCUUCUUUUCUAGUUGUGUCCAAUUUCCUUCUGUCUCAUAAGGACAGUAGUGCUCACACUGGCCUGCAGGGAUAACUCACCCGUUCCUUACUUGUGAGCUUCUACAAAGAUCCUCACUCUUUAUCGUGUACCAUGAACGGUCACUGAGACUAGGACCUCAUAUCUUUAGAAUCAUCAAUAAACUGCAGCCCAUCCUAGUACAGAAUGGAAAGCGAUGUCGUGUUUAUGGACCAUGUAAAUGAACAUUCUGCCUGGUGGUAAGAGCUCCAAUUAAUUCAGGAACACUUCGCAAUUACUACUGAAAGUAAACUAUUUUUACUCUCGGGUUCAACAAUUCCCUCUAAUUAGUGCUAAGAAUUCAUCAUAGGAUAUUUUUAAUUAAUUUUUUCCAUGUAAUAUAUUCUGAAUUCAGUUCUCACUGUGUUCUUGACAAUGGGCGUUCAAGGAUUAUUUGUUGAUGUCGUUUAUAGAAGCUACAUUUGCAAACAGCCCACACAGCCUGGCAAUGGGGACCGGGUGAGUGUGCAAAAGGGCUUCCACACCACGGGAUGCUGUAUCAAGCAGAGUGAGACAGUCCUUUGAAGAAAGUCUUCAAGAAUGUGUUCCCAUUGUGAGGACGAAUGAAGAGAGAAGACAGGAGAGGAGAGGACGAGAGAACCUAGAAAUACCCCGGAGGACACAGAAGGUGGGUUGUUCUGUAAGUAUGGAGUCGAGGUGAUGCUUACAUUAUUAUCAUAGGCAUUUAUUGAAUUAUUAAUUUAAAUGUUUAAUAACAAAAUAGAAGGGACAUUUAUUUAAAAGACCUGGCAGGAACUGUGUUGGUAGAGUACUGGCUUGUCAGGACUACAUAAAACUGGAAUGGUGGUGCACACCUCUAAGCCCAGCACUCUGGAGGUGGAGUACCAAGACCAGAAGUUCGAGGCCAUCCUCAGCCACAUAGCAAAUUUGAAAUAGCCUGUGCUACAUGAGAUUCUGCCCCAAAGCCAAAAUUCCUAAAUAAGUUGGCAAAUUACUAGCCCAUCCAAAUUGCACAUAUUUUUUUUUAGUCUUGUCUUCCUAAUUUCCUCUCUUCUUCCAUCACCAAAGAAAGGAAUUACCUUUCUUCCUGUGGGUUGCCAGUCUCUCCCUAGGGCCCUGUGGGUGUUCUUUGAAGUCAGGUUGAUUUCAUCAGCACGGGUGUGGCUUUGAGGUGAGAGCCAAGGACAGGAGAGGAAGGACAUCCUUGGUACUCUCACUGGUCACAGACCAAUCAUGGCGUCAAUAGUCAGACCAGCUUUAGGAAAGUCCACAGGCAGGCUCAGAGCUUCCUGUGUCCAUAGAGACACAAACCUGGGACGCCACAACCUCGUCAUCACAAUACAUUGUCUCUAUCCUGGACAGAAUGCCCAGAGGGCAGAAGUGGAACAGCUUGUCUUAGAAGACCCCAGGGUCCACCUGCCAUGUGGAUCAACUUUUCCCGGAGUCUUACAAAAACACAUUUCAUCCAACUUCCUCAGGCUAAAUUUGAAGUAAAGAACUCACUUUGUCUGCAGCUGCUACUGUGGUUAGUGUGCCUUCCCUGUACACGAAUCAUUAAAGUCUCUCAGGCUUAAUUUCCUCAUCUGAAAAAUGGGCAUAAUACCAGGCUUCCUGAAUUCCAAGCCGCCCUCUGCAGUAUUUCUGAACUCAGCCUAUAGGUUUGAGCACGUAUUCAUCUUGUUGUUGUUUCUUUUAUCCAAGAAGGCUGUGGAAAGACCACUGAUAUUUUUUAAUACUGUUAGUAAUAGUCACAGCUUCGGUCAUGUGAUUAAAAUAAUUUGCCAAUUUAACUACCACAGUUCAAUGGUUUUUAAUAGACUCCCAGAACUGCACAUCCAUCACUACAGACAUUUUCCUAAUAGCCCAUUAGCUGUCACUUUUGUCUUCCUUCAAUUUGCCUGUCCUGUGUAUUUCAUACCAACGGAACAUCAUAUGCCUUGCCUGGGAUUUCCUCCUUUCACUUAGUGUCGUGUCUUCAAGGCCCAUCCGUGCCAGACCUGGCACCAGCGUUUCGUUUCUUCCUUGGCCUGGUUGAUAUCCAGCUGUAUGAAUGUGUAUCUUUGUAUCUAUUCGUUCAUUCACUGACAGUUGUUCUUACUUUUGUGGUUGUGUAGUUAUUUCCUGUGAUUUAAGCAUUCCCUCCUCAAGACUUAGGAAGUAAAUGAAAUUUAUAAGACUCAGGAAGCAAACAAAACGUGCAGUCUCUGAGAGCUCCAGAAAUUUAAAGGAUUCACAAAGCCUAUCUCCCUGAGGUUAUCUAGGCAGAAACAAAUGCUGGGAGAGGAGAUACUCUGACCAGUGGAGUUGCUCUGACCAGGACAGCCGCACACAAGUCAUGUGGAGAGCUCUCAUGAGUCAUUGUCCACUGUGGUGUGGGUUUCCUGGUAAUACAGCUGAUUUUGGGUUACCCAGGUCCCCACUGGUAACCCAUCACCUUUAUUCCUGAAAUCAACCACAAUGAACCCAAGCUACACUUGGCCGUAAUUUUUCCUUUGGUCUGUCACCCAUACCCCAAUCUGGAAUGAGAGGACAUUUGUUUAUAUCUCCUCAGGAAAAGCCACCCGAUCCUUUCGUUUCUUAUAUCAAUAAAACUGCUCUGAGCAGUGCCUGGGAGUUGGCAUUUUCUUUCUGUUGGCUGUGUAGCCAGAGGUAGAACUACCGGCUCAUGUGUUAAUUUGGAAGUUGCAUUUAUAGCACUUUUCAGAAUCUCAGGAGUAUUUUAUAGAGUAGCUGUCUAUAGCCAGAUCACCCUGAACACCUCCAGUCCCAUCUAAAGUAAGAACACCAUCUUACAAUGCGAUCGUUAGCAUAUGCUGACUCUAAUUUCUUCAUGUCCUUGUCAAUGGCUUUUCUAUUAGAGCCAUCCUACCAAGAGUGUCUUUCUGUGCCGUAGCUACCACUUCCCCGAUGUCAGUAAUGGUGACCACCUUUGCCUCUUGGUGAUGGUUAUAUCUUACUUGGGAAGAUGCCUUAUUCAAAUCUUUUGCCAUUUAAAGUUGGAAUAUCACUGUUUAUUGUUUAAUUGUAAGAGUUCAAUUUAUAGUCUAGGUUGAAGUGCCUUCGUGACCUGGACUAGCAGGUCAUUCUUCAACAACAGGUUCCUGAGAAAGAGAGGACCAGGGAGCAGGAAGAUAAGGAGACAAGUUUGAGAUCGGGAGGUCUUGCAUAAGCCGCAUCUUAUGCCAAGCUAGCUAAUUAAGAAGCAAGCAUCUUAUACAGUUUUUAGGGGAGAAGUGGGACUGUGUCAGCAGAAAGCUAUCAUACAAAGGGACAAAGUCAGCAGGAAGCUAAUCGAGUCAUGUUGCAUGAAAGGAACACAGAGUAUUCUAAGUGCAGCACAGACAGCACACAGCAGUCUUGGGAGUGAUAACCAUAGGCCCUUAAGGGUGGGCAGAGUUAGCGUCUCAGGAACCAAAAAUCAGAGCUGUGACUCCCCCAAGGCCCUGGCCCCGGGCCAUUACUGGCUCUGCCAAGUAUAUUCCUUGUAUUAGAGAAGAAAUUGUGUUCCUUUUCUAUACACCAGGUCCUCAGGGAAAAAGUCCCAGGGCCCUGGCCCCAGGCUAUUACUGGCUCUGCCAAGCUUGUUCCUGGUUUAGAGAAGGAACUAUAUUCUCCAUAGACCAGAGCCUCGGGGAAAGUUUUGCCCUCACCAUCUUACUGGAUAAAUGAUUUACAAAUAUUUUCUCCCGUUACAUGGACUGUCUCUUCAUUUUCUUAAUGGGAUCCUUUGACUCACAAAUGGUAAUUCUGAUGGCGUUCAACUCACCUUCAUUUUCUAUUCAUUGAUUUUUUCACUGUAAUGUUAUAAUGGAGAAAGAAUUUUCUAACGCAGCAUCAUGACGAUUUCCUUUUACUCUAAGACUCCUAGAGCUUUUAUUCUGACGUUUAGGUUGGUGACCACUUCAAGUUAGUAUUUCUAUAUAGUGUGAGGUAGGAGCCCAGCAUCAUUGUUCUCAGUGGCUAUGAAAUUGUUGCAGGUGAACUCUUGGAACUCUUCUUGACAACUAGUUGACUACAUGUGGGAUUAUUUUUCUAUGGACUCUCUAUUCUCUUCCCUUCUUUAGGCUUCUCUUCACGUAGAAAGUGCUGCACAAUUCAAUUGCAUCUAAAAUCAGAAAAUAGAAGUCUUUCAACUUUGGUUUUCUUUCUUGAAAUCAUUGGGCUUGCUUUUCCAUUGGAAUUUGGGAUCUGUUUCCCAACAUCUGCAAAAGAAACUGAGAGAUUCAGUAGAGUGUACAUUGAAUCUAUACAUCAACUGAGGAAGGGUCAUCAUCUUAACAACAUUAAGUCCUUCAGCACAAGGCACAGUUCCCAUUUAAUUAUAUUUUUUUCAGAAAUUACUCAUAGAUUGUAUCCUUAUUAAGUUUAUACUUGUCAAUUUGUUCCUAUUUUGUGCUGUUGUAAAGAAGAUGGUUUUCUUAGUUUUAUCUUCAAAGUCCAGUCCUGGUCUACAGAAAUGAAAUUGCUUUUCAUUCAUGGCUGGUCUACAAAUGAAACUCUGCUACAUUUGGACAUGGGUAGGGUUUGUUGUUAUUUUAACGUUCUUUUGUAGGUUGUUUAGGAUUUUCUCUCCCAAGAUCAUGCUGCAUGCAUUUUCUUCCUCAAUCAAAAUUAUUAAUCCUUCCUCCUCUGACUUACAUGCCCCAUGAAAGGAUACUGUAGAGGAUUUUGUCAAAUUGUUACAGUAAACUUAGUUACACCAUUUCUUAGCUCUCAUUGUUCCUCUUAGGGAGAAAAUCCAUGGACCACUCUAUUCACUGCUCACAGGAAGGACACUCCUCCCUUCUCUGCUGCAGAGAGACAUGCUUGGAGGGAGAGUAGCUCAUUUGGGUUACCAGCACAAGGGAAGCACCUGAUGUGCUUUGGCCUUUGCAAGGACUCCUGAUCAGAACUUGCCUUGAUGAAGGAAUUCCUUCGUAUGUCCCACAUAUGCCCUUCAGUGCAAAGAGCAGAGCACUUGAAUGUAUAACAGCACCCUUUGUGCAAAAUGGCUCACAGCUGUCUGAGCUAUUCCCGUAAGACAAAAACAUGAAGUCCCACCCACUUUAUGGAAGAAACUCAACCAAAGGAUUGUCUGACUUGAGAUCUUAGGACACUGGACACUCCAUCAACAAUAACAACACCAGAAGAAGAGUAAACAUGUUUGGCACAGAACUUGGGCAGUCUACCCACCAUGUGGGUUCCAGGAAUUGAACUCAGGUUAUCAAUGCGAACCAGAAUUCCUGAAACAACUGAUUGAUUAGAACUGUAGUGAUUUGGAGAAAUUGGAGUGUUGUAAAUCCAGGGCCUAAUUACUCUUUAUCUUUAAUUUCGAAGCUAGCCUUUGCCCCCUAAAUGGCCAUUCCAUGCUGACCUCUGUUUGACCUAACAUCCUGUGGUUAAUGGAUUUCCAUUCACGGAAAAGUUAAGAGCAUCAUCAGAUGGCAGAGGAGACCCAUCUUUCUGUACCUUCUGAUGUUUCCAACAAUCAAUUGUUUAAAUAUCUUGACUUAUUCUUUGUUCUGUUACUACAAAACUCCACAAUUAAAGCAUUAUGCUCCACACUGAAACAUUAUAUUGAGGGUAAUCUAAAUGGUUUCUGGGCCGUGGACACUCAUGAUGUUUCCUGUAGAUAUACUGUGUUUCUUAUUCCUUUGAGAGAAGAGUUGUUUCUUUUGAUGACACAGUGCUUAGGUGCAGUUACUCUUAUCUACAGAGCCAUCUCCCCUGCCUGCAUGUGGCCUCUCUGAGACAACGGUUGACUAUUGGACCCUACUGGGGAGAGGUAUAUAGCAUUGUCAUUGAAUGGUGUACUUUGCCAAUAUCCCCUUUCAUGUUGCAUCAGAGAGAUCCUGUGUGCAGCAGUCUCCAUUGUGACAUGAGAAGGCUCUGGGAUCAAGCCAGCUGUUCUUAGGAAGUUCUGGAAGAGUGUUGGCAUGGCAGCGGCCCUUCUCUUUCAACAGCACAUUUGAUUAACUUAAACCCUGCCUGCCACACUGGAUAGCUGAAACCUGGUAUCCCAGUGACCUAAGACGGGUAAGAUAAUUUCUUGUCUUACCUGAGUAUUGGAAUCAUCCUCUCUUGCUAUUCAGUGUCCUUCAAACACUUAGGAAUGUAGCCAUGGACAGCCCAAGUCCCCCAUGUGACAAUUUUGCUCAAAGGUAGGUCAAGUGAAUAUGGUGAGCCUGGGUUAUAGGGUUACCAUGUUAUUUGGUUUUCUAAAUGGCUCAAGAGAAAUUAAAAACUUCAUGUCAAAGAGCUAAGUCCUCAACUGAAUGGGUAGGAUUAUGACAAAAUCUUAUAAAAUUAUUAUUAGAACUGUAUAAAUUAUUAAACUUAUGAAAAAGCCUCACAAAACAUUGGAGACUAUUCCUAAUGUUCAGGUUAAAAUGUCUGAGAGUAGAAGGAAGAGAAAAACAAUAUUCAAGAUGAUUUCUAUUCUAGCACCACCCAUCCCCAAAGGGGAAAGAAAGAAGGCCAUUAGGUUGUCAUGAAACUGGACUCUUGGGUUGCAAGGCCCUGACCAGGCAUAGUAACAGAAGUCAGCCUUGAGCCUUUUAACCACUGGAGGAUGGUUCAGUGGGGUCUCAAGUAGGAGCUCUGCUGGAGUUGAUGGCGUGAAGGAAAAGGAUUACCCAUCUCUUUUUGGAUUUUCCAAAGUCAGUACUAUGUAUUUGCUUGAGAUCAGGGAAGUGGUCCAAGGAUAUUUCUCCCUAAGGGAAACAAUGAGGGAGCUCUAACAAAUGGUGUCGUUAAGUUUACUGCAAAGCAUUUGACAAAAUUCGGCAUUCUUUCAAUGAAUGAAUGAUUAAUCAUUUUGAUUAAGGAAGAAUAUGCAUGCAGCAUGAGUCCCAGGAUGUGGACUGGUCUCCUGGGAGUGCCAGCAGAAAAGCUUCCCACUGUAGUAGAUCGAGAAGAGUGAACAAUUCACCAGGAGAGGAGAGAACCACUGUUGGGGUCUGUUUCUUUACCUGUAACAUGAACAACUUUCUCGUUAUGUUAGGCUAAGGGUAUAGUCCUAACAAGUUUGGUUCAGCCUUGCUCUGCAGUGGAAGUUUUUUUUUUUUUGGGGGGGGGGCGAAUAAUAGAAGUUGUAGUGUUAAAAUAAUAGCAAAUAGCUUUUAAUCCAACGUUCGUUUUUAAAAAACUGUCUUUGAAAUGGCAGUCACAGCAGAACCCACUUGUGAGAGAAGUACUUUUAGUGAUGCUCGACAGGUUCCCUGAACUCAGCCCAAGGCAGAGGAUUAUUCUUUUGCCUGAAGAGAGUGGGAACAAAAAGAGACAAGGGGAUGAUUUGCAAAUCUAAAUCUCUGUGACCCAUCUUCCAGGGAGAGGCACGAGUGUAAGCACAGAAGGGAUCUGAAGGAAUUCUGGGUUCUUCCCUCUUUGACAUUGUGUCUGGGAUUAAACCCCAUACCCUAAUGCAUGUUGGGCUGGGGCUCAAGAGUGUGGUAGGAUGGGAUGGUGUGUGAUGGGAGGGGACGGACAUUUGACUUGAGUGAUGGGUCCUUCAAUCCCAAAGGCCUUGAUUUUAAUUAUCAGCAUAUGUAGGCACACACAUGGAGCACAGAAAUUCAUGAAAGCCAUAGUGACUGGGACCUGAGAUUUUGGGUGGAAAGUUUUACAUUCAAAACAUUCAAAACCAGACAUGGUGGCAGAUAUCUUUAAUCCCAGGAUUUGGGAGGCAGAGGCAAGGGGAUUUCUGUGAGUCUGAAGCCAGCCUGAUUUACAGAGUAAGUUCCAGGACAACCAGGGCUAUGUAGAGAGAUCCUGUCUCAAAAAAGAAGAAAAAAAAAAAAAAGAAAUAAAGUAGCAAAAAAAGAAUACAUAGCAGAUACAAUGAGUAUUUUUAAAAAUUAAAUAGCAAUGUUCAUAUAAGCCUCACACUCUAAUCUAAUAGACAUUCAACACUGUAGGCUUUGCUUUGAAUCUUAAGUUUGGGGUGUUUCCUUUCUUCUCUUUCCUUCUUUCUCUCUCUCUCUUUCUUUCUUUCUUUCUUUCAUCUUUCUGUCUUUCUUACUUUUUUCCUGUCUGUCUGUCUGUCUUUUCUUUCGUUCUUCUUUCUAAUAGGAUGUUACCAAUGGUGCUGAAGCUUCAGACCCCCACCCUGACAUCAGUGUCACCUCCCCGGAGAUUGUUCACUUUGACAACACUCAAUCUCACAAACAAAAGCUGGGUUUUGGGGUGUGGGGUUCAAGAGAACACUGAGACAGAUCUCUGGGGAAUAAGUUUACUAGAAAACUUAUUAACACCAUGGACAGACAGACACAGAGACAGCAUGGCAUGGUCUCUGGAGAGAGGAAUCAGACCACACAGGCAGAAGCAGGCUCUCGUUUUAAUGCCUUUCCUGAGGAUGGAGGAUUUUCACACAAAUGUGUAGCCAGGAUAAAGGGAGCAGGGAACAAGAUGUGUGGUACCAAUCCACAAACCCCUUCCAUUGAUGUUAGCUCAUUUCCCAAAUGAGAGAUCCUGGCCCAGGGUGUUGGCCAACUGGGGACUCAUAGACAAGGUCUCAGGAGGCUACCCAGGAGGGUAUCUAUGUCUGUGAGUGGAAGCUGCUGGAGAUAUUCUGUCCUAAGCAGAGGCCGGAUACUCAAGGCUUCUGGCCCUUGAGGGACUGGUCGCUCAGUUCAAAUAUCCCUCCUUUCCCAUCACACACCACUCCCUCUUAUCACUCCAUUCUUAAACGAGCGUCCUUAGAAUCAGGAAGCUGACAUUGCACUGUGUGGUUUUACACCACACACGAUUUGCUAGUGUUUUCAAAGCAUACCGCCAUUGUCGGAGAUUUGCCCCCUUGAGACUGAGACUUGGGUCUCGUGAGUCUGCCUCAAAGCUCUCCCUGGGGAAAUUUUUUUUUGUAUGCCUAAGAGUGGAUUUGCCUAAACUUCACUGAAGAGAGAAGAUAACAAAAGUGUUCACAGCCAUCACACCACCCAAACUUAGUGCCUUAACCCAUUGGUAAUAAAUGGUUGAGCUCCUGAAUUUUCAAUGUGGGCAGAGCACAACUCUGUCCCCAACAGCAUUAGCUGAAGGGGCUCAGAAGCUAGCCUCCCCACAAGUAUUCUGUAGUGACUAAGGACCCCUUUCCACCUAAGAUAAUUCUACACAGGCUACGUGUGUAACAAUAUAGGACAGGUAUAUAGAUCAAACAUUGACUGACAAUAAACCACAGAGAGGUUCAUUUUAAGACAAUUCUUUGAGAGAUACGUAUGUGCAGCCUUACCACAUAUUAAAUAGGAAAGCAAUUUCGCACACCACCGAGAUGAAUACGCUUGGCUAUUUUUAUAUAAAGAGUGAAAUCUUGCUAGUGCAGGAUGUAGAGUUCGUCAAAGCGUUUCAGAGUUGACUGAUGCUUUGAUUUUAGGAUUAUUGAUGCUGCGACCACUGCUUCACAUAAAUACAUAGUGCACACGACAUAAGGGUGUGUAGGGACAUUUCAGAGUAAAAAUGGCAUUUGGAAGUCCUGCGCUAUCCCAAACCAAGAUUCGCUUAAUGGUUUUUAAUGAACUCAUCAGCAAUUCGAAGUUCAAGUUUUAAAAUCGAGCACUGGACGGGCAGUGGUGGAACACAGUUUUAAUACCUGGAAGGCAGAGGCAGGCAGAUCUGAGUUUGAGGCCAGCCUGGUCUACAGAGAUAGUUCCAGGAUAGCCAGAGCUACACAGACAAACCCUAAAAAGAAAUAAAAAACAAAACCAAGCACUGUGACACAAGGGAACCUAAAGAUAUAGUAAUUUAAUACUUACCUCUUGAAGAAAAUGCCGGAACAUGUUAAGUGCCUUUGUUUUCUGUAAUUAGACCAGUGUGUUUCUAUAGAAGAAUGAAGCUAUUUCUGUACAGUAAGAACAACAACAAACGCUAAAGGACUGCAGCUCAUAUGACACAUCUGGAAUAUGAGGCCCGUGCUCCAGCUGCGUUCACUGGCACUGCACGGUGGGAGAGCAUGCAAGGUGUGGUGAGCACAACGCUCUCUCACACUGUGACUUCAGAACCAAGGCCGCAGUGAGCUCUCUCAGUGCCCCGCAGGUCCCGACCUCCCAGUAGUGCAUUGGGUGGGACCCAAGCCUUUAGCACACGGUCCUUUGGCAGACACCAACAGUAUAUAGCAAGGGAGAUGGCCACCUGUUUGGUAUGGCACCAUACCACAAUUGAUGUAGGUUCAUUGGAGGCAAACGCAACAAUAUCCUGGUGGCAGAAUUACCUACUACUGCAUCUGAUCAGGAAGACAGUACAUUCAAACCACUGAGUGGAGACUGGAGUUAGGCCAGCCAUAAACUAUCCUAAUGAAGACUAAUCGGGAACUACAAUUACUGUUGACUUCAGAAUGCAAACAUGAACUUUAGACAGCGAUCCCUAUCAGCCGAUAAAAGUUUGAAUUUUGCCCGGGAGGGACCCUCCAGAAUUAUCAUUAAAGAAAAUAUACGCAAAGAACAGAAGGGUCCCAUGCUGCCCUCUCCACAACAGAGUGUGGUGAUAUCCACUGGAAGGUCUUGUUGUCUCACAGAGGAACUUCCUCCUUCUGUAGGGAGGGUCUCCUUCUACAGUCCUUGUGCUGACCUCACCUGAACCUAUAGCGAGCUCAAAGUACUUCCACACCGAAGAUCCACCUUUGGGUUCCCCGUUUUGACCUGAAGCAUCCCAAGCUCUGCCUCGUGGUCAUGCUGCCUUCUCUCAGAUGGCUAGCAUGCUCCGAUGCCUCCCUCUAACAGCAGUAACCAUGACGUUUAGAGUUCUCCUUGAAGAUCUGCUUGGCAAUCUCCUCAUCUCCAAGAUGUCAUAUGAAGACGACACACUCAGCUUCCAGGGACUGGUGUUUGAUAUCCUGGUCAUCCUUCCAAACCAACUGAAGAGAAAGAGUGACGUAAGUGCAAACAUGCCCUUCACCCUCUCCCACAGGGCUUCCAUUAGAAGCUGCGGAUUGCCAGAGAGCCAGACAUGGAGGUUUGAAUGACUGUAACCCCAGUAAGUAGACAGGAGGGUGACAGGAAGCUGCCUUAGGACACGGAUGCUCAAUCCCAUGGAGGGUCGGCUGAAUAUGGUUUUGCUGACCCCCCCCUUGUACCCCACGACAGCAGCGAUAGGCAUCUACCUGUCUCCAACACCACUGCUACUGAGGGAGAAAAACAGGGUAUAAAGCCAUUACCCCACGGCAGCUCAUCUGUGAGCAUGCCUGCCGCCAGCUGCUCUUGGCUUGGCAGCACCCCUUCUGCUAAAGGUGGCUGGAAUUCCACUGCGUGCUCUCCCACACUUGGCUGUUAAUUGAAGCGCAAAGAUAACAUCAUCAAUCCAAAAGGGUCAUGAGUCCUUUUUGCCCUCUUGGCAAGUUAAUGUGGCCUAAUAUUUGUUUAAAGCCCACCUAUUCUUUUAAAAGACACUUUGUCCAGCGGAGUUUUGAUAAGUGCCUACCCCCCUCGCUCCUUUAAGCAAUAAAGUCAGAUUUUUUCCCCUUUUCUGUCCUGUGAGCAGCCAGCUUUUCUGAAGGAAGAUUGGCUUUAUAAAUGAGAAACAGAUCCUGCCCCAUAAAAGAUCUAAGACAUGGCUAUUGGGCCCAGACCUCUGCUGGGUGUGCUUUUAACUGCUAAGCCAUCUCUCCAGCCUAGUUUAAAAAAAUAAUUUCUGUCUAAAUCGUAUUUUUAUUAUUACAAAUAAGGGAGGGGAUCCAAAGGGAUCCACCACCACGCCCAACCCAAAACCCCUCCGCAAAUCUGAACAGAAGUGGUCAAAAUGACCCCAUUCCAAGACCCGUAGUCUGCAAAGAAAACCACACAUUUGAAGCAUUGAAGAGAUUUGUAAAGGUACAGACGCUGAACCCCAGCUCCGGAGAUCCUGAUUUAGCUGUUGUGAAGCAGAUCGGAGAGCAGUAUUUUUAAGAACACAUCCCCAGACAAUUCUAAUGGGCAGCUGGAGUUGGAAAGCACCAGACCAUUGAAAUAAAUUGCCACACAGCACAUCAUUCAUAAAUGUCUCUUAAAAACACAAUGCCGCCGAGUGAUCGGUACUUUAGAGCCACCGUGUCCCCACGCUGCCAGCCCAGUAGGUUCUCUCUAAUUUUUAUUGAAGUAUCACCGCCAGAAAGAGACACGUGCUCACUGCAUUCUCUGCAGCACUGCUGCUGAUAGCAAGAGAAUUUACAUUUUCAAUAUCUGUCAACGGGAGGGAUGGAGGCAUUGAACACGCUCCUGCAACGACCUGUCAUGCGGCAGCUAAAAUGAAUGAACUAGAUAUGCAACAGUCGAAGCCAGUGUCACCGGAUUCAGCGGUGAGCGAAAAGAAUCCAUUUCAGGGGGGGAAAAAAUUCUAGCGUGAUACUAUUUGUGCUGGAAGUGUUAAAAAAGGAAAGCUCUGAAUGGCUGGAGUGUGGUAGGAGGCAGACACCGAGGUGAAC
rnacentral:sRNA from 1 species